rnacentral:rRNA from 1 species
GACGAACCGUGCGAACGUUAUUCGGAAUCACGGGGCUUAAAGGGUGCGUAGGCUGGUUGCCAAGUCUGUGGUGAAAUCCUCCGGCUUAACCGGAGAACUGCCGUGGAUACUGGCGACCUCGAGUGGGGUAGGGGCUUGCGGAACUGUGCGUGGAGCGGUGAAAUGCGUUGAUAUGCACAGGAACUCCGGUGGCGAAGGCGGCGAGCUGGACCCUAACUGACGCUGAGGCACGAAAGCCAGGGGAGCGAACGGG